AGGCGCGUAGCUCAGUUGGUUAGAGCGCUACCUUGACAUGGUAGAGGUCGCUGGUUCGAAUCCGGCCGCGCCUA
rnacentral:tRNA from 2 species